rnacentral:rRNA from 1 species
UACGUAGGGGGCAAGCGUUGUCCGGAGUUACUGGGCGUAAAGCGCACGCAGGCGGUCUUUUAAGUUUGGAGUGACAGUUGGUGGCUUAACUGCCAAAGUGCUUCGAAAGCUGAAAGACUUGAGGGCUUCAGAGGGACACGGAAUUCCGGGUGGAGUGGUGAAAUGCGUAGAGAUCCGGAGGAACACCAAAGGCGAAAGCAGGUAACUGGACUAUUACUGACACUCAACUGCGAAAGCUAGGGGAGCAAACAGG